AGUAAAGUCAGCUAAGUCAAGCUUUUGGGCCCAUACCCCAAAAAUGUAGGUUAAAAUCCUCCCUUUACUA
rnacentral:tRNA from 1 species